GCCCGGCGGCCAGGACGGCUGGCGGUUGCCAGGGGCUGCGAGGGUGACACUCCUCUGCCUGGGGGUCCUGGGCAGGCUUCCGGGGUCUCAGCGGGGUGUGGUGGGCAGGUCGGGCUCCUGUCACCCCUCGCUUGUCCCUUUGCCCCGCGGGCGGCUGCACAGAGACGGUGAGAUCCUGCAAACCGGCGGCGACCGGCUUGGGAUGGAGUCACCGAGUGCAGAGGAGGGAGGCAGUUAUAAAUAGCUAAGAGCCUCAGUCUCCAGAAGUGUGGCUGCCCACGUGUGAAAAGCACAGGUUACGUAAGUCCCCGGAGCGUGCAUACUGCAGCUUUAGCCUGUACACCCGCAAAGGCUCAGGGCCACGCCCCAGACAUGGCGGGGGGCCAGAAUGCAGAGACCGUUGAGCCGGAGGUAAUGAGAAGGGCCUGGCUACAUUUCCUGUCACCACUACCACUACUGAGGAGAGGAAAGGUGACAGAAUCCCCUCCGCUGUAAACCGGAUCGCGUGAAGAACACAACUGCCUUCAGGCCGCUCGCAGCCACACCCCAGUAGGCCACACCGCGCUAAGGGACGCUAAGGCCGGUCCCCUGAGUUCGUGCCAGUGUCAGUCUUUGUUUACCAAAAGGAGGCUGAAGAGGACCAUCCCCUUAUAGGGAAGGGUCUGCAGGGCCCGGACUGCAGCGCUCUUGCCAGGUCCUGGAUGACUCUGAAAGCACAGCCAUUGUGCUUUUAGACCUGGCCUGAGAGUUCACACAACACAGCAAGUACGCUUGGAUUUGAUGUGCCUCAUGACGUGGGAGUGGAUAUCUUGUCUUCCAGCUGGCCAAGUCCCCAAGCACAGCUUCCUGAUGUGAGAAACAGCCUGUACCCUGAGGAACCUGCCCACAGGACAUUCCCUGAGGCCUCAGGAGAUGAGGGCACUCUAUGACGAGGAAGCCUGAUUUGUAGCCAGCUCUGCACGGUGUGAAUCCCAAGGUGCUGACCUAAGGGCUCCGGGGCUCCUACAGUGGAAACAGGAACUUGCUGGAGCCGGUCCUGACCUGUAAAUCCUGAACCAGAAGAUUGGGUAGAGCAUGACACCUCCCCCCAGGGGUUGGGAACAGAAGUGUUACCACCCAUGCCUUCUACAACAGUGGACACACACCUAAGAAAUCAGAACAUCCAGGAUUUUAUGAAGGUAUAUGCACGGUGUACCUGUGUUGUCUGAGGUGGAACCUUAUACUCCUGUGAGUAAAACUCCUGAGUUUCUGCAGGAAACAUGAACAUGUGUGUUCCUAGGAUAACCAAGGACAGA